rnacentral:rRNA from 1 species
GAACGCGAAGAACCUUACCAAGUCUUGACAUAUUACGGCGUGUUUUAGAGAUAAGACACUAUAUCUUCGGAUAACUGUAAUACAGGUGGUGCAUGGUUGUCGUCAGCUCGUGUCGUGAGAUGUUGGGUUAAGUCCCAUAACGAGCGCAACCCCUAUGGCUAGUUACCAUCAUUAAGUUGGGGGCUCUAGCAAUACUGCCGGUGACAAACCGGAGGAAGGUGGGGAUGACGUCAAAUCAUCAUGCCCUAUAUGACUUGGGCUACACACGUGCUACAAUGGCGGGUACAGAGGGCAGCAAGACGGUGACGUCAAGCGAACCUCAAAAAGCCUGUCCCAGUUCGGAUUGCACUCUGCAACUCGAGUGCAUGAAGUUGGAGUUGCUAGUAAUCGCAGAUCAGAAUGCUGCGGUGAAUGCGUUCCCGGGUCUUGUACACACC